rnacentral:rRNA from 1 species
AUUGAACGCUGGCGGCAGGCCUAACACAUGCAAGUCGAACGAGUGGCGGACGGGUGAGUAAUGUCUGGGAAACUGCCCGAUGGAGGGGGCUAACUACUGGAAACGGUAGCUAAUACCGCAUACCAUCGGAUGUGCCCAGAUGGGAUUAGCUAGUCGGUGGGGUAAUGGCUCACCUAGGCGACGAUCCCUAGCUGGUCUGGGAGGAUGCCCAGCCACACUGGAACUGAGACACGGUCCAGACUCCUAGGGGAGGCAGGAGUGGGGAAUAUUGCACAGUGGGCGGAAGCCUGCUGGAGCAAGGCCGCGUGAAUGAAGAAGGCAUUCGGGUUGUAAAGGACUUUCAGCGAGGAGGCGUUACGCGCAGAAGGAGCAACGGCUAACUCCGUGCCAGCAGCCGCGGUAAUAC